rnacentral:rRNA from 1 species
UAGUCCACGCCGUAAACGAUGUGUGCUAGCUGUCGGGCCUUAAAGGUUCGGUGGCGGAGCGAAAGUUUUAAGCACACCGCCUGGGGAGUACGGCCGCAAGGUUAAAACUCAAAGGAAUUGACGGGGACCCGCACAAGCGGUGGAGCAUGUUCUUUAAUUCGAAGCAACGCGAAGAACCUUACCUACACUUAACUAUCCUCUUGGGACUUUCAGAGAUGAUUGUCUUCGGUUCGGCCGGGGAGUGAAUAAGUGCUGCAUGGCUGUCGUCAGCUCGUGUCGUGAGAUGUUGGGUUAAGUCCCGCAACGAGCGCAACCCUUAUUGUUAGUUGCCAGCAUUUAGUUGGGCACUCUAAUGAGACUGCCGGUGAUAAGCCGGAGGAAGGCGGGGACGACGUCAAGUCAUCAUGGCCCUUACGUGUAGGGGCUAGAAACGUGCUACAAUGGCAGUGACAAUGGGGCAGGCUACCUCGCGAGAGGGAUGGCUAAUCUCCAAAAACUGUCUCAGUUCGGGAUU